rnacentral:rRNA from 1 species
UACAGAGGUCUCAAGCGUUGUUCGGAUUCAUUGGGCGUAAAGGGUGCGUAGGUGGCGCUGUAAGUCGGGUGUGAAAUUUCGGAGCUUAACUCCGAAACUGCAUUCGAUACUGCGGUGCUUGAGGACUGGAGAGGAGACUGGAAUUCAUGGUGUAGCAGUGAAAUGCGUAGAGAUCAUGAGGAAGACCAGUGGCGAAGGCGGGUCUCUGGACAGUUCCUGACGCUGAGGCACGGAAGGUCAGGGGAGCAAACGGG